GGAUGGAUGAGAACAUACUAAUUACAUUGCCUGGAGCUGAACAAAAUGAGUGAAAUCUCUUCAACUGUCUCUCUCAUCUAAAAUGAGGUAC
ensembl:snoRNA SNORD116 Small nucleolar RNA SNORD116